rnacentral:lncRNA from 1 species
CAGUAAACCACGUUAGAAGAUGUUGAAUGUUCUUGGGAAAUGUUGCUCUUUCGAGAUCAAAAUUCCAGAAAAUUCGGGACAGUUUGGUUUCUUCUAACAGGUGCUGGCUCCUUUUUCUCGAAUUCACAGCUGUUUCUCCGAAUGCCAUUUAAAGGAGCUCCGGGGGUGUUUAAUAACGAAACCGAGCGCUCUCGAAAGCGCAGGACGGUGUUUGGCCCCGAGCUGGGAGCAGUGAGUGGCCCCGGACUCGCCAUGUCCAACACGUCCCAUCUGAGGGGUUUUGGCUCUCGUUCCUGUUUUGUUUCAUCAUUCCUGGAAUCGCUCCUGCCCGGGGAUCACCGCUCUCGCUUGCACUUCGUGCCCUCUGCUGGGAGAGAUGGAUCAAACCAGCCCGAAGGAAAACCACGCUUCGCUCCAGGCUUUGGGCAAAGGCAGUUUUGGCAUUUGACAUGGCUCCACCAGGACUUGCUGAUGGAUGGCAGGACACAGAGGGACACAAGGACGUGCUCAAGAUGA